UUAUUGGCUCCGAGCGUUAACAAAGUGUCAAGGCAAAAUCGACCGACCUGCUCAUGGUGGCGGUUUUUUGAAAUUUUGUAAGGACGCUUUCUGUAUGAUUAAGGCCCGGUCUUUUCACCUCCGAAUAAAUAUGCUCUUAUCUGGCAGUUAGCUAUCUGGAGGAUAAAUAUUUAUUCGCCAGAUAAAAUGUAUACUACAUUCGCUCUCGCGAGAUUUUUUUGAGACAUUCGGAAUAGGAAACGUACAACACAAAAAUUCCUACCUCGCACUAUUAACUGCUAAAAUCAACUCAAAUCAACUUAAUCUUUCAUUAAAAAAAGAAGAAUUAUUAGAAAUAGUGGGAGUGUCUACUAAUCUCAUAAAAUUUUGUGAAGUUUAUUUCUACAAAAUAUUUUUAUUUUGUACAAUAAAUAAUUUUCUCAUUUGCUAUCAAUACAUUAUAAUGGUUUAAAUAAAUAAAUAUUGAUUGGCGUAAGGUUUAUGUUAUUUUUAUGUCUGUUUACUAUUAAUAAUAUUGGAUAUGAGCAGGUGCGUUGGUUUUGUAGUAAUUCCCAGUCACUUCUGACAACUGAAUUUUUCAAAAAAGAAAUUACUAACGUCAGUGUCAAAAAAAAUCUCGCGAGAGCGAAUGUAGUAUACCCGUCUUUUCACGUCAAUUUAUGUUCCAGUUAGUUAUCCGGUAGAUAAGCUUAAAAGUAAGUUUGGAUUCGGAACACACCUGAUUUUUGUGUUUAUUUUUAUAAUUUCAGCUUUAACUUAACCUAACAUAAUUAGAUUCACAUAAUCAAGACCAAGAUGAUUUUCUCGAUUUUAUUUCCAUUGUGGAAGAAGGAAAUAAAGAAAACAUUGAUUAUGGUGAAAAAGUUUACUGGAGAACUUGAACAAGAGGUAAAUAAAUUUUAAAUUAGUGGAAAACUGUUGAUUUGUAUGUAAAGAAGACAAAGACAAGUUUAAAUAAAGACAAGCUAGCUAAUGAAACAGAUGCAGUGUUACAGAUAUGACAAACAUCUAGAAGAUUCAAUCCUGCGUUCUUAAAGAAAAAAGCUAGUUCCAGUAGUAAGCUACCAAUAAUAAACUAGAGAAUGUAUUACAAGAAAGAACAACGCUAAUACUAAACAUACCUCAAUUGCUUCAGAUAGAAAAAGAGGACGAAAAGGUACAACACAAGCGUGCUAGAGAAAAUGAAAGGGCAGAAGAGAGACACAAAAAUUCAUUGAUUUAUUAAAUUUAAAAAUUUAAUUAUACAAAGGACAAUUAAAUAAAGAAUAAAAAAUGAUA